rnacentral:lncRNA from 1 species
UGCUCUGUGUGGCCCUGUCCUCCCCACGUUCCUGCUGUGCAGUUCCGGCUGGAUGAUUAUUCCGGAGAGAUCGCACAAAUGGCGUGCUAAUGGGCUUCUCCAAUUUGGCCCUAGAAGUGAUGGACUCCAUACACCUGCCCAAGAGCCUCCUUCGACAUGAUGACACUAUGGCCUUCUGGGGAAGGACUCUUUCCAGCCCUGUGUGCCAAGACGCGAGGUCUACUCCUGGUUACCGCGUGGACAGUGGCAGGAAGCCUUUGCUUUCGCACCAGCAACCAAAACAAGUUGCAUACGCUACAAAAUCGUUGUUUUUCUGAACUCAUCAUAUGGCUGAGGAUGCAAAGAAAAUACCCAGACCGAGCAGCAGAAAGCGGUAAGCCCUUCAGAGGAGAGAAGAGACUCAUGGUUGCCCUCUUUCCUGGCAGGUUAGAGGUUGUCCUCUAACCUGGACGGGGCUAAGGGAAACCAGUUGGAACCUGAGCACAUUUUCAAUGGCCCCGGGUGGGCUGGUAACGCAGGUUAGAGUUCUGAACGCCCAUCACUGAGAGAAGCUGCACUGACCCACAGUCCUUGGUUGGGUUCUUUUAGAAGAUGUGACCCACAUCUGAAGUGUGUGGGGACUUUGCCCAAGUUCAAAGGGGCUUUCUUCUGAAGGUAGGGUUGGGGCAAGGCCGGAGACCUGAAAACAGUCCAUCCAAAGCCCUCUGGACACCUUUGAGCUGCUAAGGAAAACUCAUCAGGGGGAGAUCUCCCAAGCUGCUCAAAACCCGGGGUAGGACUGGAGAGCAAAGAGAACUCUCCAGAACCCACGAAGCUGUCACCAGGCUGGGAAUCGGAGAGAGAUUUCCCACAGUUGGGAAACCUUGUUCUUGAUUAUAAAUUACAGAGAUUGCAGCAGUCUUUCUUGUGCUCGGAACCCAAGCCCUGGAGGAAAGAAAGACCUGACUCUACUUUGAACAUAUAUAUUUUUUGAGCCAGCAGUAAACUAAACUACAAAGUAGAGGUCCAACAAAGCCUGAUAUUACUUGAACUACAGAUCAAAUUGCCCCCUUCCAGGGGCCUGACAUAAGAGGGUGUGCACUCACAAAUGAUGAUAAAUAUUGUGUGCACCAGUUGGCUCUGUGGUUUUCUACCAAAUGCUUGACACCCAAUAACAUUUCAAGACAUGAAAAAGCAAUAAAACGUGACCUUGGUGAAGACA